rnacentral:tRNA from 1 species
CAACAGAUAUUUUAAUUAAAAUAUUAAUUUUGGGUAUUAAUGAUGUGGGAGAUUCUACUUUGUUGA